CUUGGGGUGCUUCUCUCUCUCUCUCUCCCUGGCAUUUCCGUUUCCGUUCCAUUUUCCAUUCAGUUUAAUUUAGAGCGGAGCUGGUGGCAUUUGGCAUUGCGGCAAGUUGUGGCGGAGUUCACUUGCAGGUAUGUUUUGAUACUUAACUUGCGACCAUUUAAGUUGUAUUAUUUAUAGCGUGUUGCUUUUAGUAAUAGCAGCAAGGGCAGGUGCGUAUGUGUGUGAAGGCUGAUCGCUGGACUGAGCUGCGGCACCGGUAGUGAGUAACCAUACAGCUGUGCGUCCAGUAUUCAACAUCAAUUGGAAAGGGGAACAUUGAGUCCAGUUCUCGGCUAGUGAUUUCAUGUGACGCAGCUGCUGUUUUGCUUACGGAUAUAUUUUGGUUUCGAUCGUGUCAUUGACUGUCAUCUGGACUGUAUACUGUU